rnacentral:rRNA from 1 species
UACAGAGGGUGCGAGCGUUAAUCGGAAUUACUGGGCGUAAAGCGCACGUAGGUGGCUUGGCAAGUCGGUUGUGAAAGCCCCGGGCUCAACCUGGGAACUGCAUCCGAGACUGCCUUGCUAGAGUAUGGGAGAGGGAAGUGGAAUUUCCGGUGUAGCGGUGAAAUGCGUAGAUAUCGGAAGGAACAUCAGUGGCGAAGGCGACUUCCUGGACCAAUACUGACACUCAAGUGCGAAAGCGUGGGGAGCAAACAGG